rnacentral:rRNA from 1 species
GAGAAUAAGAGUUCGACUCCGGAGAGGGAGCCUGAGAAAUGGCUACCACAUCCAAGGAUGGCAGCAGGCGCGCAAAUUACCCACUCUCAGUACGAGGAGGUAGUGACGAAAAAUAACAAUGCGGGACUCAUCAGAGGCCUCGCAAUUGGAAUGAGCGCACUUUAAAUCGUUCGACGAGGAUCUAUUGGAGGGCAAGUCUGGUGCCAGCAGCCGCGGUAAUUCCAGCUCCAAUAGCGUAUAUUAAAGUUGUUGCAGUUAAAAAGCUCGUAGUUGGAUCUGGGGUUCGGGUCGGCGGUUUGCCGCUUCGGCGGCUACUGCCGUGCUCGACUCUUACUAGCCGGUGCGUCUUGCGGUGCUCUUCAUCGAGUGCCGUAGGAGCCUGGCAUGUUUACUUUGAAAAAAUUAGAGUGCUCAAAGCAGGCGAUUCCGCCUGAAUAGUGUUGCAUGGAAUAAUGGAAUAGGACCUCGGUUCUAUUUUGUUGGUUUUCGGAACUUAGGUAAUGAUUAAGAGGGACGGUCGGGGGCAUUCGUAUUUCGGUGUUAGAGGUGAAAUUCUUGGAUCGCUGAAAGACGGACAAAUGCGAAAGCAUCUGCCAAGAACGUCUCCAUUAAUCAAGAACGAAAGUCAGAGGUUCGAAGACGAUCAGACACCGUCCUAGUUCUGACCAUAAACGAUGCCAACUAGCGAUCCGCAGUGGUUGCUAUAAACGGACUCUGCGAGCAGCUUCCGGGAAACCAAAGUGUUUGGGUUCCGGGGGAAGUAUGGUUGCAAAGCUGAAACUUAAAGGAAUUGACGGAAGGGCACCACCAGGAGUGGAGCCUGCGGCUUAAUUUGACAACACGGGGAAACUCACCCGGUCCGGACACUGUAAGGAUUGACAGAUCGAGAGCUCUUUCUUGAUUCGGUGGAUGGUGGUGCAUGGCCGUUCUUAGUUGGUGGAGUGAUUUGUCUGGUUAAUUCCGAUAACGAACGAGACUCUAGCCUGCUAACUAGUUGCGCCGUGUUCAUACGCGGCUGUAGACUUCUUAGAGGGACAGGUGGCGUUUAGCCACACGAAAUUGAGCAAUAACAGGUCUGUGAUGCCCUUAGAUGUCCGGGGCCGCACGCGCGCUACACUGAAGGAGUCAGCGUGUGCUAUCCGGGCUCGGAAGAGUUCGGUAACCCGUUGAAACUCCUUCGUGCUUGGGAUUGUGGCUUGUAAUUAUCGCGCAUGAACGAGGAAUUCCCAGUAAGUGCAAGUCAUCAGCUUGCGCUGACUACGUCCCUGCCCUUUGUACACACCGCCCGUCGCUACUACCGAUUGAAUGGUUUAGCAAGGUACUCGGAUUGGUCUCGAUCUUGUACGAAAGUGCGGGAUCUGUGGCCGAGAAGAAGGCCAAACUUGAUCAUUUAGAGGAAGUAAAAGUCGUAACAAGGUU